UUGAACUGAAGAGUUUGAUCCUGGCUCAGAUUGAACGCUGGCGGCAUGCCUUACACAUGCAAGUCGAACGGCAGCACGGGUGCUUGCACCUGGUGGCGAGUGGCGAACGGGUGAGUAAUACAUCGGAACAUGUCCUGUAGUGGGGGAUAGCCCGGCGAAAGCCGGAUUAAUACCGCAUACGAUCCACGGAUGAAAGCGGGGGACCUUCGGGCCUCGCGCUAUAGGG
rnacentral:rRNA from 1 species